rnacentral:snRNA from 1 species
AGAAGGUGGCAGGGGAAAUACCAUGAUUGCCACAGUGGUUUUCCCAGGGUGAGGCCUGUCCUUUGCACUCCAGCCAUGCUAUCCCCUGAAAGUUUUCCCAAAUACAGGAAACUCAAUUGCACAAUUUUAUGGCAAUUGGGGAUUGCUUUCUUGCUUUCCCCCU